GAGAGUAGGAGCAUGGGGGGGCGGUGAGGUGACUAUGGUGACAGUGUGUCUAGAGAGUAGGAGCAUGGGGCGGUGAGGUGACUAUGGUGACAGUGUGUCUAGAGAGUAGGAGCAUGGGGCGGUGAGGUGACUAUGGUGACAGUGUGUCUAGAGAGUAGGAGCAUGGGGCGGUGAGGUGACUAUGGUGACAGUGUGUCUAGAGAGUAGGAGCAUGGGGCGGUGAGGUGACUAUGGUGACAGUGUGUCUAGAGAGUAGGAGCAUGGGGCGGUGAGGUGACUAUGGUGACAGUGUGUCUAGAGAGUAGGAGCAUGGGGCGGUGAGGUGACUAUGGUGACAGUGUGUCUAGAGAGUAGGAGCAUGGGGCGGUGAGGUGACUAUGGUGACAGUGUGUCUAGAGAGUAGGAGCAUGGGGCGGUGAGGUGACUAUGGUGACAGUGUGUCUAGAGAGUAGGAGCAUGGGGCGGUGAGGUGACUAUGGUGACAGUGUGUCUAGAGAGUAGGAGCAUGGGGCGGUGAGGUGACUAUGGUGACAGUGUGUCUAGAGAGUAGGAGCAUGGGGCGGUGAGGUGACUAUGGUGACAGUGUGUCUAGAGAGUAGGAGCAUGGGGCGGUGAGGUGACUAUGGUGACAGUGUGUCUAGAGAGUAGGAGCAUGGGGCGGUGAGGUGACUAUGGUGACAGUGUGUCUAGAGAGUAGGAGCAUGGGGCGGUGAGGUGACUAUGGUGACAGUGUGUCUAGAGAGUAGGAGCAUGGGGCGGUGAGGUGACUAUGGUGACAGUGUGUCUAGAGAGUAGGAGCAUGGGGCGGUGAGGUGACUAUGGUGACAGUGUGUCUAGAGAGUAGGAGCAUGGGGCGGUGAGGUGACUAUGGUGACAGUGUGUCUAGAGAGUAGGAGCAUGGGGCGGUGAGGUGACUAUGGUGACAGUGUGUCUAGAGAGUAGGAGCAUGGGGCGGUGAGGUGACUAUGGUGACAGUGUGUCUAGAGAGUAGGAGCAUGGGGCGGUGAGGUGACUAUGGUGACAGUGUGUCUAGAGAGUAGGAGCAUGGGGCGGUGAGGUGACUAUGGUGACAGUGUGUCUAGAGAGUAGGAGCAUGGGGCGGUGAGGUGACUAUGGUGACAGUGUGUCUAGAGAGUAGGAGCAUGGGGCGGUGAGGUGACUAUGGUGACAGUGUGUCUAGAGAGUAGGAGCAUGGGGCGGUGAGGUGACUAUGGUGACAGUGUGUCUAGAGAGUAGGAGCAUGGGGCGGUGAGGUGACUAUGGUGACAGUGUGUCUAGAGAGUAGGAGCAUGGGGCGGUGAGGUGACUAUGGUGACAGUGUGUCUAGAGAGUAGGAGCAUGGGGCGGUGAGGUGACUAUGGUGACAGUGUGUCUAGAGAGUAGGAGCAUGGGGCGGUGAGGUGACUAUGGUGACAGUGUGUCUAGAGAGUAGGAGCAUGGGGCGGUGAGGUGACUAUGGUGACAGUGUGUCUAGAGAGUAGGAGCAUGGGGCGGUGAGGUGACUAUGGUGACAGUGUGUCUAGAGAGUAGGAGCAUGGGGCGGUGAGGUGACUAUGGUGACAGUGUGUCUAGAGAGUAGGAGCAUGGGGCGGUGAGGUGACUAUGGUGACAGUGUGUCUAGAGAGUAGGAGCAUGGGGCGGUGAGGUGACUAUGGUGACAGUGUGUCUAGAGAGUAGGAGC